rnacentral:rRNA from 1 species
GACGGAGGGAUGUAGCGUUAUCCGGAAUUAUUGGCGUAAAGCGUCCGCAGGUGGCUGUUCAAGUCUGCUAGUCCAAAGCGACAGACGGCUUAAACUUCUCGUUAACAGGUCGGGUGGAAACUGAAGGAGCUAGGAGUAUGGAUCAGGGGUAGAGGGAAUUCCCGGAUGUAGCGGUGAAAGUGACAGUGAGAUAAUCGGGGAAGAACACCAGUGGCGAAAGCGCUCUACGUGGGCCAAUAACGUGACAACUGGAGGGACAGAAAGCUAGGGGAGCGAAAGGGA